CAAAACCCUAGUUCAGCCGUUCGGGCCUCUCGCCUCUUUCGUAAACGAGAGUUUCUUGGUGCGUAAAUCAGUGCGCUUUUGCCUGGUUUGUGGUUCUUUGUCAAGUCUCACUGAUUCUUGGGCUUGAUGCGGUGGAAACAGAAGAUGGGUUGUCCUCCACCAAGAUCUUUGGUGAGGUAUUCGCCAAGAAGGAGAUGGGAAUCCUGUCUCUCUGUCUGUCUGUGUGUCUCUAUUCUGCAGGCGUACAAGCUCAAGAAUGGCGGGGUUGUGACGAACACACCAACGGAUGGGUUCUGAUGUGUAGACAUGGAAUGCAAAGGCAUCAUCUUUAGCAGUUGGGUCAUCUGAUGCCAGGACCCAGGAUCAGGUAAGUCGAGUUUUCGCAUAUGGUGGAAUGAAUUUGAUAUUCUUCCUCUCUAUUGUGGUCUGCUUCCAUGAAAAGAAUACCAUCUUUCAGUCUGCCUGUAUCCAUAUAGUGCUUAUGGACGGUCUUGUGCUAAUUUGGUAGUGCUGCAUUAGCACGCAGCAUAAGCAUAAGCUAGAGCGAGCAGAGCCACCUUGUCUUUCAGUUUUCACCCCGUCUAAAAUGGGGGAAGGCUAUCCACGCCGUGGCGGGCAGCAUCUGCAUCAUUUGUCUUCAUUUGGCUUUUCGAACUUUGAAGUGCUUAUGGACGGUCUUGUGCUGAUUAUUGCUCCAUCAGGACAUAACUUAAUUCAUAAGCUACAAUUACAUGCCACUCUUUCUCCACUAGCUUUCUCUUCUUGCUAUUCUAGGGAAAGCUAACUAUAUGUGGCAGAUAUUCUUGUACAUGGAUAAAAACGAUUUUUUUUUUUAAAUUCUUGGAGUCAUUAGUCCAUUUCUUACCAGCUGUCCUAUCUAUUUAUGCUCACAAACUAGAGAAUGCACAUUUAAACAUGAGUUUGAGAAGCACUCUAGUCGAAUUAUUGAUAGCUAAGGGGCUGAAAAUGAGUUCAUCAGAAUGUUUCAUCACCAAUAUUUACGAAUUUUAUGUCUAUUCAAGAUCCUCAUAUGCGUGUUAUAUUAUUGGGAUGAACUGAUGUCCUUUUUUUGUGUUCACCAAUUAGCAAAGACCUCUCCAAGGCUGUGAAUGCUGCUGGAACUGCUGAUAAGCUAGGUAAUCACUCUUUUUAGGAGAAGCCAAAUGCCCAGCAGCCCAGCAAUGAAUCUCCAUCUCUUAAAUACCUUUUUGUGGACCCUUCUUUAAGGCAUUUGAGAGGGUAUAUUCAAGUCAAAUGCGGUGGGCUCUAGCAUGGAGUGAACUGGCUCUCUAGCGUUAGAGUCCGAUUUCUCUCUUACCUAUGUAGACUUAAAGGGGGGGCUUUGUGUCACGGGAGUGAAGUUUGAGAGAUGCACAAGGUUGAUAGAGUUAAUUUGUUGCAAUAGUGUCAAGAUAGUGGCAUGAAGGCGUUUGUACUAGCAGUCUUGGGAUGGGAUGAUUAUGAUUUUAAGGGACCUUUGCAGGUGGGAUUGAUUGCUUGUGCAUAAACUGGUCGGGAGCUGAUGCCGCUUUCCUGAUGAGGCCUUGGCAGGUCGAAACCAGUUGUGCUGAUGAUCUGUAUAUCUUGCUUGAGAGACUGGAUGCCUGAACAAAGUUGGAUGUGGUGCGGUCCAUGCUAUUCGUGAUAUUGUUAUUGGGAACAAUCUAUUGAGAGAAGGUUGGCCUAGUGUCUCGGCUCACUAGGCACAACACGAGCUCGUCCUUGGCCAGGAUACUUUUGGUGCGACAAGCAAGUUUCUCAAACAAUAUAGGUGGAUGCUAAGAAGAGAUCGGUCGCCAUGUUCCCUACAAGAAGAGAAUCCUUCAUUGGUUUGCUGAGAUCAAGAGUUGUUAAGAUCAAUAGAGGCGUAGUAGGCGAAAGAAGUGCUGCCAAGAGAGUGCAGUUGGCUUGGGAUGCCACACUUGUCAGGGAGAGUACAAGUGACUAGAUUCGUGAACAGCUUUGAUUGGGGGAAGCAACUGAUGUGAGUGUAGUAGCAUGUUUUGUUGGGUGAGCAUUUGCCAUUCAUGUAAGUCCCGCGGGAGUGGCUGUGGUGGUUGAAGAAUGCCAGGAAGUGACAGAACAAGCGAAACAAAGUGCUUAGUAGGCGAAAGAAAGUGCUGCCAAAGUAGUGCGGUUGGCUUGGAAUGCCACACUUGUCAGGGAGAGCGCAAGUGACUGAAGAUUCGCGAACAGCUUUGAUAGGGGAGCAACCAAUGGUGUGGAGUGGCUUGUUUUGUUGGGCGAGCGUUUGCCAUUCAUGUAAGUCCCGUGGGAGUGGCGCUGAUGGUUGAAGAACGCAAGGAAGCAACAAGAUAGCUUGAAUUGGGUAGGUGAGAAUGCCCAAGUUCCAAUUUCUCUUGUACCCAUGGGGGUUGAAAAGUGGGCGCUUUGUGGCAUCGCGGUGAAGUGCGAGAAAUGCAGAAGGGUUGAUACAACUGGUUUAUCGGAGUGGCAUCAGAGUGUUUGUGCGAGGAAUCUAGGGUUGUGAUGAUUAUCAUUUUAGAGGAUUUCUAAAGGCGGGGUUGGCCUCCCGUGCACAAACUGGUCGAGAGCUAAUGCCGCUCUCCUGAUGAUGGCCACGGCAGGGCCGAAACCAGUUAUUGUGCUAAAGUGAUUUGUAUGUUUCACUGUUCUAUUAUGCUGAACAAAAGCUACCUUGUUCCAGCUCACUAGGUGUCGCACGGCCUCAUGCUUAGCCUGAAACUUCUGGCCUAACGUGUAUAAAUGUCUGGUCCAGUAUCUGUCUGUGUAUGCUUGGCUCACGUUUCCGAACAUGGUGCUUUUUGCAGGCUCGAAAAGUCUACAGAUUUUGAGCGA